rnacentral:rRNA from 1 species
CCCUUAGAUGUUCUGGGCCGCACGCGCGCUACACUGACGGAGGCAGCGAGCACGUCCUGCGCCGAGAGGUGUGGGGAAUCUUGUGAGUCUCCGUCGUGCUGGGGAUAGAUGGUUGCAAUUGUCGAUCUUGAACGAGGAAUUCCUAGUAAGCGCGAGUCAUAAGCUCGCGUUGAUUACGUCCCUGCCCUUUGUACACACCGCCCGUCGCUACUACCGAUUGAACGGUUUAGUGAGGGCCUCGGAUUGGUCUCGGCCCGCUCUUUACCGGGCGGCGCCGUUGGUCGAGAAGACGCUCGAACUUGAUCGUUUAGAGGAAGUAAAAGUCGUAACA